UACGUAGGGCGCAAGCGUUGUCCGGAAUUAUUGGGCGUAAAGAGCUCGUAGGCGGCUUGUCACGUCGGAUGUGAAAGUCCGGGGCUCAACUCCGGAUCUGCGGUGGGUACGGGCAGACUAGAGUGAUGUAGGGGAGACUGGAAUUCCUGGUGUAGCGGUGAAAUGCGCAGAUAUCAGGAGGAACACCGGUGGCGAAGGCGGAUCUCUGGGCCGAUACUGACGCUGAGGAGCGAAAGCGUGGGGAGCGAACAGG
rnacentral:rRNA from 1 species